rnacentral:lncRNA from 1 species
GAAAAGGACCUACCAUUAAACAUUGUGCCUCCUUGGAUUUGAACCCUAGACAUCUUUCUUUAUAAGCAUUAAAAUAUAUCAGUGAGCCCAAACUGAUACUUUGACAACUAAUCAAUAUGUGGUUUCUUAAUUCACUUAUUUUUCAGCUUAUUUUUUCAAAAGCAUCCUUAACAUUUUUAAUGAGAAAUAUUUUUUAAAUUAAUAAAUAUUAAAAACACUUUUGAGCAACAAUUAGUAUUAAUAAGUGUUUUUAAGUGUAUUUUUCUCAAAAAUAUUCUUCUAGAGAAAAAAAUAUUUUUUUAAUUUCUGAAAAUUGUAUUUGUUGCUCUCCAAAUUAAAACACUUAUUUUUUCUUAAAAAAACUUGGUCAAAUAUUUUUUUUAGAAAUAAGAAUUUUUAGGAGCAAUGGGCUAUUAGUCUUUUCUCCUACAUAAAUAUGGUGCUACUGUUCAUAGGACGUGGCACCCAGAACCUCAAAAUCCUGGAUUCGCCUCUGGUAAAGAAUAUUAUUUAGUGGGUUGGAUAUGAAUUAUAUUAACGUGUGAGUUUUUAUAGGAAAUUGAGUGUUUAAAUUAAUGGUAAGUUAUUUGGUUCAAAUGUGCUUCUUCUAUAAAAUUAAGGAUCAAUUCGUGUUAAUAAAAUAUAAUAGGAACGAUAUAUUUGGAUCGAAGAGAACCAUCUCUAUAUCUUCGAUAGUGAAAGAGUAUAUUUGAAUUAUUUUUAAUAAUACAAGAAAUAUUUGAUCCUUUUACUUUUUUGGACUUUGUGGUGAGUACUUUGUGGUAUUCUGUUCAUUAUUCAAUAACUCACAAAUCACACAGGAAAUGCAAACCGCAUUAGACAAGCUUCGUGCGAGAAACUCAUGAUUGAACGACAAAGACUAAAUUCUAUCCCAGAUCUCCCACGUCGGAGACACAUCUCUCAAUCACUCAACCUUAUACUUCUCUUAUGUAGAAUUCAAAUAAAUGUAAUCAAAAUAUUUCAUUUCAACAACUUAAUUCUUUCUUUAUUCUUCAUGCCAGUAUUCUUCUUCUUCUUUGUUUUAGGGUAUAUUUUCACUACAAUAUUAAUUUUUUUUUAAUACUUGAAGUGAUAUGUUUUAUUUAAAUCGAGCAUCCAUUAAAAAUAGAAUAAAUACAUAAUGACCAUUUUGAUCUUGUCCAAAUUUUACAAAAAGACACCUAAACUUUAAUUUCGAUCUAUUACCCCACAAUUUUUCUUUAUUUCAUUGCAAAUACGCCAUUUUUUGCUGAAUCUCAAUCACUAUCCCCUUUUUCAUACUCCAAAAAAAAAGUAUUUUAAGUUCGAAAGGUUUUUAUUAUUAAGGUGACAAAAAUGAAAAAUUUGUUUCGAAAAAAAAAGGAUUAUUUGCAAUUAAGUUCAGAGUCGCCACUUGACAUAAGUCGGGUGUGCCAAGUCACCUUUGGAAAUCCUUUUUAAAAAAACAAUUUGACUCUUUGAAACUGGUUUACGAACAGAGAUUUCGGCUAAGGAAUUCUGUUGACCGAGGGAAAGGUGUCGGGCACCCCUUGAUCCCGUGGUUCGAUCACGGUCGCUUGGUGGAGAAUAUCAGCUAACUUGACACUACGAGUGCAUAAACCAUACAAAAACACAUAGAAACGAUCAAUCAAACAAAACAAUCCAAAAAUUUGUGUCCAGUCCAAUUAUACAGUCCAAAAUAAAAAGUGCAGAAAUAUAAACUACGGUAACCUACACUAGUCCUAAACUACGCUCCAAUGCAUUACCCGAUGCCUCGGGCCUUCACUACGAACAUCUUCCGCCAAUAUAAUGUAUCGGGACAUUCCCCGAUGAAUAAAUACAUGAAACUUCGAGGCAUUCCCCGGCCAAAUGAAUACAUUUCAAUCGAAUGCGAUAAACUAGAAAAUAUUCAACACACAACUCCACAUUCAAUCAUCGAACGACGCACUUAUUCCUAAAUUUUUGCCUACCCGAACCUAUAUUUGCCUAUCCAUUUCAAUAUGUCAUGACUCUAUUAUAUUCCGACAAUAUUCAUGCUCAUUCCAAACACAACAAUGAACCAAAGUCACCCAAAAUUCAUCAAUUUUAACAAGUUUUCAAUUCUCACCCCCCAAAUGACUGAUUUUACUUUUCGAAUGAGAUAUCAUUUCAUCACACAAUUCAUGAUCAUGGCGACCAACAACGAAUUCAGAACAACCAAACAUUAACCAAUCCAACACUCAAACGUCAUCAACUAUUCACUUAUCGAAUCACAUUCAACAAUCACAUAAGAAUUAAAAGGAAGAGAGGAAAGAAUUAGACCUCAAUGCCGCUUUCAAGUAUUAUUCAAUUAAAUGAGAUGAAAUCCGCACCGAAACCUCGAACCAAAUUUUGACUUCGAAUUGAAACCAACUCGGAAUAGCCUUCUUUUUUGGUUUUUAUCAACCCAAAUUGGAAAACUGCACAACGAUGAUAAACCCGAACCUAUUUUGCACCCCCAGCUACUGUUUCGACCGUUUUCCAGCAGACUUCAUCAAAUUCGGGUUUGGUUGGGCCGAUUUAGGUUAUUCAGCGGCAUAUUUCGACACUUUACAAUGGAUGGUCGUCGAAAUUGACACUAGAGGUCGGAUUCGGUGGUUUCCAAGCGAUUUUCGAUGGAUUUUUAUCGGAUGGUCGCCGAAAAAGGACAGGGUCGGGUUCUUGGUGAUUUACCGGUGAAAACCACGCCGACAACAGCUAUAUUUUUCAAUUUCGAUCACAAAUGCUUCUCUGUUCGUCCUCUUUUCUCUCUAUUUCACUCUCUCAUCGUCUCUCCUCUCUCAAUCUCACUAUUUGAGCUCUUAAUAAUCUCUCUCCCUCUCUGUGUGUUUGAUCUUAUCGUUGUUGUGCGUGAAGAAGAAACCAAAAAAAUGGAGUCCUCUUUUCCAUCCGUGAUUUGUUGUGAUGUGGUGUAUGAUUUUUGGUGAGUGAGGGUGUCUUGGUGAAGAAGAAGGGAAGCCCCUGAAGAAGAAGAAGAAGCCCAAAAAAAAUCUUUUCUCCCUUGGUCCCC